CACAAGCGGUGGAUGAUGUGGUUUAAUUCGAUGCAACGCGAAAACCUUACCCACCUUUGACAUGGCAGGAAUCCUGAAGAGAUUUGGGAGUGCUCGAAAGAGAACCUGCACACAGGUGCUGCAUGGCUGUCGUCAGCUCGUGUCGUGAGAUGUUGGGUUAAGUCCCGCAACGAGCGCAACCCUUGCCAUUAGUUGCUACGAAAGGGGCACUCUAAUGGGACUGCCGGUGACAAACCGGAGGAAGGUGGGGAUGACGUCAAGUCCUCAUGGCCCUUAUAGGUGGGGCUACACACGUCAUACAAUGGCCGGUACAGAGGGUAGCCAACCCGCGAGGGGGAGCCAAUCCCACAAAGCCGGUCGUAGUCCGGAUCGCAGUCUGCAACUCGACUGCGUGAAGUCGGAAUCGCUAGUAAUCGCGGAUCAGCAUGUCGCGGUGAAUACGUUCCCGGGUCUU
rnacentral:rRNA from 1 species